rnacentral:rRNA from 1 species
AGAGUUUGAUCCUGGCUCAGGAUGAACGCUGGCGGCAUGCCUAAUACAUGCAAGUCGAACGAGAGGAAAAGAAGCUUGCUUCUUUGAAUCUAGUGGCGAACGGGUGAGUAACACGUAGGUAACCUGCCCAUGUGCCCGGGAUAACUUCUGGAAACGGAUGCUAAAACCGGAUAGGUAGCAGACAAGCAUUUGACUGCUAUUAAAGUGGCCUUGGCCAUGAACAUGGAUGGACCUGCGGUGCAUUAGCUGGUUGGUGAGGUAACGGCCCACCAAGGCGACGAUGCAUAGCCGGCCUGAGAGGGCGGACGGCCACAUUGGGACUGAGACACGGCCCAAACUCCUACGGGAGGCAGCAGUAGGGAAUUUUCGUCAAUGGGGGGAACCCUGAACGAGCAAUGCCGCGUGAGUGAGGAAGGUCUUCGGAUCGUAAAGCUCUGUUGUAAGAGAAAAACGGCACUCAUAGGGAAUGAUGAGUGAGUGAUGGUAUCUUACCAGAAAGUCACGGCUAACUACGUGCCAGCAGCCGCGGUAAUACGUAGGUGGCGAGCGUUAUCCGGAAUUAUUGGGCGUAAAGAGGGAGCAGGCGGCACUAAGGGUCUGUGGUGAAAGAUCGAAGCUUAACUUCGGUAAGCCAUGGAAACCGUAGAGCUAGAGUGUGUGAGAGGAUCGUGGAAUUCCAUGUGUAGCGGUGAAAUGCGUAGAUAUAUGGAGGAACACCAGUGGCGAAGGCGACGAUCUGGCGCAUAACUGACGCUCAGUCCCGAAAGCGUGGGGAGCAAAUAGGAUUAGAUACCCUAGUAGUCCACGCCGUAAACGAUGAGUACUAAGUGUUGGGAGUCAAAUCUCAGUGCUGCAGUUAACGCAAUAAGUACUCCGCCUGAGUAGUACGUUCGCAAGAAUGAAACUCAAAGGAAUUGACGGGGGCCCGCACAAGCGGU